rnacentral:rRNA from 1 species
AACGAACGCUGGCGGCAUGCCUAACACAUGCAAGUCGAACGAGACCUUCGGGUCUAGUGGCGCACGGGUGUGUAACGCGUGGGAAUCUGCCCUUGGGUUUGGAAUAACUGUUGGAAACGACUGCUAAUACCGGAUGAUGACGUAAGUCCAAAGAUUUAUCGCCCAAGGAUGAGCCCGCGUAGGAUUAGCUAGUUGGUGAGGUAAAGGCUCACCACGGCGACGAUCCUUAGCUGGUCUGAGAGGAUGAUCAGCCACACUGGGACUGAGACACGGCCCAGACUCCUACGGGAGGCAGCAGUGGGGAAUAUUGGACAAUGGGCGAAAGCCUGAUCGAGCAAUGCCGCGUAAGUGAUGAAGGCCUUAGAGUUGUAAAGCGCUUUUACCCGGGAUGAUAAUGACGGUACCGGGAGAAUAAGCUCCGGCUAACUCCGUG